CCAGACUACUGAAGGAAAACAGCUGAUUUAAGGUCCAUCAGUCAGGGUUCUGGUUCUGGGCUACAUCACGCUGCAGAUCCUGGACCGUCCCUCUGCGUCCUCCAGGCCCCUCUUGUCUCGGACCAGCACGGCCUGGUUCCCGAAGCUGCUGUACCAGGCCGACUGGCUGCGGUUCAGGUAGGUCGGGGGGGGUGCUGCCUGCAGGUCCUGCUGCUGCUGCUGCCAGACCAGCAGGGACGUGUCCCGGUACCGCAACCGGGCAAAGGCCUCUGACAGGGCCUUCUCUGCCAGGGGGGGGCGACCGCGACCGGGACCGGGACCGGGAGGUUCCUCUGCAGGCGUCUGCUCCUCUACUGCAGCUGGAUCACAGUCCGACAUGGCGCUCCAGAAACCAGGAGGCGGACAGGAGAAACAUCCAGAUGAAGGCGGGACCGGAUCAGAACCAGGUCCAUCUUAAACACCUGAGGAAUCCACCUGGAACCAGAUGGAACAAAACCAGGAGCACAAUGUCAAUAAUCCCAGAGCUGGAGAAUUCUCCCAGCACCAGCCUGAAGACUACCGUCCGGGGGCCUCAGUCACGAGGAGAGACCGGUCCUUCAGCACAUCGAGGACUAUGACCCCCCAGACUGUCUCCCUCCCAGACUGUCUCCCCCCAGACUGUCUCCCCCCAGACUAUGUCCCCCCAGACUAUGUCCCUCCAGACUAUGUCCCCCCAGACUAUGUCCCCCCAGACUGUCUCCCUCCAGACUUCGACCUUCACCAGUUCUCAUAUCGUGUGAGCAGAUCCACAGAGGACGCCAUCUCCGUCUCACUCUGCACUGAACCACCUGCAGCCGCAGCAGAGCUACGUUCAGCUGCUCUUUGUGGAUCACAGUUCAGCCUCCAACACUAUAAUCCCAGACAGACUCAUCACCCAACUGGACACUCUCGGCCUUCCCCCUCUCACAUGUGCCUGGAUAAAGGACUUCUAACCAACCGACCCCAGACUGUGAGACCCCCACCUCUCCUCCACCUGCACCCCCAGACUGUGAGACCCCCACCUCUCCUCCACCUGCACGCUGAGC
rnacentral:lncRNA from 15 species